GGAGUUCUGAGUAAGGGCGUGCGGUGGAUGCCUUGACUCUAAAGGGCGAUGAAGGACGCGGCUUAGCUGCGAUACGCUUCGGGGAGGUGCUAUGCAACCUGCGAUCCGAAGAUUU
rnacentral:rRNA from 1 species